AGUUUUAAUUAGGUGGGUUAAAUUUUUGUUUUUUGAAUGAUAGGCUGCUAGAUACAGUGAUACUGAUGAUCUCAGAUCAUUGGCCUCUUAUGGUGUCUCUCUUGACUCUCUUGAUUCACAAGGCCGAACAGGUUUCUUCUACAUUCUCUUUUUGUUCUAAAGUUCCAAUUUUUCCAGUUAAUAGAUAAGAUUCUUAAACUCUUGCUCAGACACCUGCAAUGUAUAGGAAAAUUUGGAAUAAAUGAUGCCUAAAAAGGGUUCAUUUGGCUCAUUUCAUCUCGUGAAAUAUUGGUUACUGUUUUCUGGUUUAGUAACAUAUGUUGGUGUUCUUACUCUUAUCCUUGUAUAUUCGGAUACUCAGAUUAAGGAGUUUGAAAUGUAUGGUUAACUCUGUGAACAUUGUUUCUUUUUAUCUUUUACUUGUCUUCACAAGCUGCAUAUGGUUGCGGCGUAUAACUGUAGUGGAGUAUCUUAUCAGUGAAGGAGUGGAUAUUAAUGCUCUUAACGAUGAGAACAAUGCUCCUCUACAUUGGGCAUGUUUGAAUGGCCAUGUCGAGGUGUGAGCGGACUCCAAUGGAUGAAGCUAUUGGUGCGGAGAAGAUGGAGAUUAUAGAUGCUAUUAACACAACUGUUGCACAAAUGGAACUUGAAAAUACCAGAGUGACACGACUUUUCCAGACAUCUCCCUCUCGGCAUCGUAAAUGUGAUUUGGAGAGAAUAAGUCUCGGAAAAGGUAUGUGGAAGUAAUUAGUUGGGAUCACAGCCUAAAGAAGAGAUUUUAGAAAUAAAGGAUCGACAUUAUUGAGAUAGAUUUUUGGAACGCAAUAUCUUUUAUUUAAUUUUCGAUUUUCAUAAUCCAAUUGCGGAAGAAGUUAAGGAAACAGAAAAUAUUUGGUAAUUUAAGAAUAAAUGUCGUUUUUUUUCUCCUUAUUAAAGUUAUCUAGAUAUGGUAUCUAGGAG